CUGGGGCUAGAGAGACUGUGACAUAGCUCUCAGUCACACACAGCUGGUUGGUGGCAGAAUUGGAGCCAGAGCUGGCCGUCUUCUGACCAUGGAGCGUUAAUGCCUCAUGAGGUUGAAUGAGGCCAGAACUAAGGAAAUGGGAAUGUAGGACCCAGAAAUGAUGUGGGAAAAUCGUCCAUACUUUAUUAGCAGUAUUAGCAGCAAAGGAGAUGCAAUCAGAUUUGCAUUUUAUUUUAUUUUAGUUUUUAGAUUUGCAUUUUGGAAACAUCUCUCUAGCAUGGCAUAAAGAAUGGAUUGAAAGGAGCAAACAGAUCUUACAAGAGCCCUAAUGAAGUUGCUAUCACCUGCCUAUUGCAAAUUAAAAAAAAGAAAACUGAGGGAAGGAUGAAGAAAUGGAGGCCAAAAGUCAAUAACCUGUCCAGUUUCACACAGCUGAUCAGUGGAAAGACUGGGGUUUGAAUUCUGAUCUGUUUGACAGUUUAUGGGAAGAACAUAUGAGUGAGCGUAUGUGUAUGUGUCUUGUAAGCUCAUUUCUAAUCAGCCCCCUGGGAAUGCUGGAUCUGAGAAACACUUUGUCCUUCUGAGGAACAAAACCCUUCCCAGGUGACUGCUCAUCAUGCACAGGCGGGUGAUAUUGAGGACCAUGACAACAGUGAAGGCCACAAGGCAGACGACCAUGUAGUAGACGCCCAUGUCUCCAGAGAUAAAGAUGAC